AGUACACUGUGAUAUAAUGUUUCAAUUUUGGCUUGAUAUUUAGAUUUUUCAAAAUUUAUUGUGACGUUUUAUCUGGUUACAGAUCGAACAGCCACCAACACAGAACGUCUUUGUGUGGAGACCCAGUUUUUGAGGCCAGCUGUGAUUCUCCCUCUUUAAGGAAAGUAAACAAACAUCUUUCUUACUUUCUUUUUUUUCUUUUUUUUCUGUGACUUGUAUGUGAUUCCCAGCAUUCUGUAAGCAAAUACUUUCCCACUUGGGGAAGCGCAGUGCUUUUGAGAGGAAGGUUUUAUCUUAAAUAACUGUGUCUGUGCAGAGCCCGUGUGUUCCCAGGCAGGAAUGGCAAGGAGCCGUCUGAUGUUAAUGGUUUCCACAUGGACUCUCAGAGAGGCCGGCCAAGACUCCAGCACGGGCAGAAAUCUCCAAAUUUAGAAGAAAUAUGAAAAUUGUCAAAGUGCCUUCCUUAGGCUGAGACGACGGGCCCGGCCCCCUAGCCUGAGCCCUCCCUCGCCAUUUCUUCUCAUCCUCACACACCGCGGGUCACAGCUCGGGGUCAUGGGGGCUGUUACACCAGCCAAUCAGGGAGCUCGGGAGGUUUUCCCUGACGUGCCGCUCUGAUAGUAAGCCUGCCCCUUGCUUCAUAUAAGAUAAAAGAAAAGUCUUUGCUCCCCAAGCCGACCAUGCUUCAAAAAGGAGCCUCGCACCGGGAACCCCCUUCAGACGGUGGAGCGCACGGCAUCCAUGGGAACAAAGCGGGGACCCCCUCUCUGCAUCUCUACCCAUCCCGACUGACACCAAACACCCAGCACACUCCCACCCAACCAAAUUGGCCAGGACCCAUGUGAACGAUACUUCUUCUUCAAGACACAGACUGCGAGUCUGCAGGGGGAAACACAACAUGCUGCAGGUUUAAUAGCUGCAGGUCAGACAGGCUGGCUGGGUGACAAACUGAAGAAUUCAUUCAAACCUCCGGUUCUUUUUAUGGGACUGAGUCACUUCCAAUGUAAUCAACAGGACGUAGGAGGUCACAGUCCAUGUUGAUCAAAGAUGGUAAGAUGGAACACAAAAGGUGUCAUGCAUGAUUCAUCCCAGCUACAGUCCUCAGGCCCAAGGUGCAGUGCUGCAUCUCUGGUCAACUGGGAGUCUGAGAUGAAGCACUGUAGCUCGGGAGGAAGGGCACUGCCUGCUAAUAGACUGAACAAGAUACCUUGUUUUUAACAUUACAAAUUUGAGAUUUCUAUUUCAUAAAAUGCUCAUUUAUAAUUAGUAGUAGAUUAAGCAUUAUUGUUUAGCAUUAGCAUUAUUUGGUAGACCAGGUGUUGGUAAUUCUAGGAUUAAAUGGACUUCUACUGUUGCCACUCUUCCAUCACAAUGAAUUCCAUCAUUUCCCCAUUCCCGGGGUCCAGUUUUCCCAGGAAUCCCUUGGGCAAUCAUAAGGGGGAUUCCUGGAAAUACUGUUCUUGGGGGUGGGGCUGGACAACUGAAUUUUUCAAAUUAUAUUUUAGCUGUUUAUAUUAUCAUCUAUUACUAUGAUCAGUGGUUAUACUCCAUUUUAACAUGUAUUGCCAUAUACACUACCAUUUAAAAGUUUUUUAUCAUUUUUUAUGCUCUCCAAUGCUACAUUUAUUGAAUUAAAAAUACAGUUAAAACAGUAAUUUUGUAAAAUAUUAUUACAAUUUAAAAUAACAGUUUUCUUUUCUAAUAUAUUAUUGUGAUGGUAAAGCUGCAAUUUCAGCAGCCAUUACUAAAAGUCUUCAGUGUCACAUGAUCCUUCGUUCUUUUUAAAAAUCAUUCUAAUAUGCUGUUUUGGUGCUGCAGAGACACUUCUUAUUAUCAGUGCUGAAAACAGCUGUGCCGCUUAAUAUUUUUGUGAAAUUGGUGAUAGAUUUUUUUUCAGGAUCUUUGAUUGAUAAAAAAGUUCAAAAGAACAGCAUUCACUUGAAACGGAAAUCUUUUGUCACAUUAUAAAUCUCCUUACUGUCGAUCUUUUGAUCAAUUUAAUGUGUAUUUGCUGAAUAAGAGAAAAUAUUUCUGCCCCUAACUUUGAAUACUUAUAUUGCAAGUAUGAGUUAUAUUUUACUUUACAGAUUUAAAUACAAAUAUUUUAAAGUGAUCAUUUAGAAAUAAUAAAUACAUGAACCUCCACAAUGUUUCAAUAAAAAUCUUGUUUAUCAUCUAAAACUGUUGUUAUUGUUUAUUCAUCUAAAACUGUUGUUAUUGUGUGUGUGUGUGUGUGUGUAUACUUUUUUUAUUUUUAUCAUAUGAUAUGAAAAAAGCAGAGCCACCUAUUAGUGAAAAUGUACAGAACAUCAAACACUGUCCACUGGGGGGCGCCGUUUACAUUGUAAGGCGGUUCAAAAGGAAACAACUGCCCACACGUGGUGGCUCAGAUUACAGGAAUUUUACAGAAAUCUGACUGGAGCAAUUUACAUUUAUCACGUCAGACCUGCAUUAGGAGAAUAUAUGAUAAACCUCCAUCUGAGUGCAUGUAAAUGUUAACCAGAAGAACAGAUAAUCAUCUGCAGAGAGAGCAUUCAUCAAGUAAUACAUUUUUGAUAUUGUUUUAUUAUACUGCUAUACUGUACUCAGAUUUGAGCGAGCGCCUGUAUACACAUGCUCCAGCACAAAUGUGCAGUGAGUCAUUCAGGAUUAAGUAGGCGGUGGAUGCUCAUACAUUUACGUGAGAUUUCUUUAAGUGUUCACCCAUGCUGUCACUGAAAUGUGUGACAGUGUGUGGGAGAAAAAGAUCCACGCAUUUGGACAAAGAUCGAAUGCAAUUAUAUACUUUUUUUAAGUAAUAGUAAACAAGAAACAGUAAAGCGAUUGUCAUUUAAAACAACUCCCUCGUAUGGGUCCUAUGAAGGUAUCCUGAAAGACAUUAGUUGCAUUAAUGUUGAUAUGGUUUGCUUACAUGCGAGGAGGGGGAAGGGAAAGGCACGAGGAUCAGUGCUGAGCUGGACUGUGUCGUGUUCAGCCCAACAGCUGCCUGGUGGAAUCCAGCCCUGUUGACUCUGAGCCUCUGAAUCCACAUUGACGGAGACGAUGAUACGAAGACAGCUGUGUGGGCUUCAG